AAAAUAAUAUUUAAUUUGAUCCCAAAACAUUUGCCGAUUCCACUCAUCCCACUGCUUGAGCAAUCAUCAUGAUCGUCACCGUCAGAAUCCUCAUAGCUACUAUCCUCUACAAACAAUAUUUAAGUCAUUAUAAUGGUUGAUUGGUUAAUUAUAUGUAUUAAAGAAAAAAUAUGUAAUUGUAUCACCUGUGUAAGCGAAAUUAAAAUUAUCAUCUUCUUCUCUCUCGUUGCCGGUAUUCAUUUUCGCGACACCUGACAUGGUUGAUCUCUCUCUGUCAGUCGUCUUUUGUGAUUGAGGCUAUAGCUUCGAGUGUUCAUUUUUCGAGUUCUCUUUUAGUUGGCGCAUAUUUUUGUCUGCCACCCUACCUUUUAUUAAAUGCCAUAUAACUAUCAGUCACAAUUGUAGAGUGUAUUAUUAUCUAUGGGGGUGGUAGCCCCAACACCUCGAAGCAGUUCUAUUGAACAAUUAUAUAAUUCCCACUGUGUGGUUUGUUUUUUAUAUUAUAUCAACUAGUGAAGUUCUGGCUUCGUGUAGCAUGGCUUAAAUUAGAGAUGUUAAAAGAAAUUGUUGUUAUCCACACUUUUUAUUGAGUUUUGACAGAUCGGUACUGGUGGUAGGACCUCUUAUGACCGGGUAUCCGUAAAUGGAUUCCCCAGCGUUAAAAAAAGGACCUCUUGUGAGUCCGCCCGGGUAGGUACCACCACCCUGCCUAUUUCUGCCGCGAAGCAGUAAUGUGUUUCGGUUUGAAGGAUGGGGCAACCGUUGUAACUAUACUGAGAACUUAGAACUUAUAUCUCAAAGUGGGUGGCGCGUUUACGUUGUAGAUGUCUAUGGGUUCCAAUAACCACUUAAUACCAGGUGGGCUGUGAGCUCGUCCACCCAUCUAAGCUAUAAAAAAAAACGAGGUCAUUGACGCGCACAGUCUUAUUUGAAACCCAUUGAACUUUUUUGGCACCUACAGAAAAAAAAUGGGGUAGUACUACUGUAGGCUGUUUGUUUCAAAGAAGCGGUGGCAUUCACGAAGGGUCAUGACUUGGUAUCAUGAAAUAGACAAAUAAUAUUACACAAAAAAUAUCAGUUUUAAAAACACUUUUUUAUUAACAAAAGUCAAAAUUUUAAAAUAUAUUUCGAAUAAAAAAAAAUGGCCCUCACAGAACACAGUAAAACGUAAUAAUUUCCGAACCAUUAUUUUUGAGCAGCUAAUCUGAAGUCUGAACAAUAAAACCACAAUGCUGUGAUCUCGAUAAUUCGAAAAAAUAACUACAGUACCAAACUACACAUUUAAAAAUUACCAUAGCUUCUUGAAUAGAAGUUCUAUAUUUAUGCCAUGGUCAAAGAUUCUGCAGAUCUCUUUUACAAUGGACGAGUAUGUAGUUAGAUGAUUUACCAGACUUUUAUUAUGUACAAUAAACUAUUCUUUGAUUUAUUUGUUCCCAACUAGAGCAGUGGUAAAUGUGACAUUACGUCAAAUUAAAAAAAAAACUACUUAUUUAUUGAGCCUAAUUUCACUGUUCUAAUAAUUUCUUAUUCAAAUUCUUUAACCAACAAAUCUAUAUAUGUAUAUAUAAAAAUGAAUCCUUAUUUCUCUUGGUCAUGACAUCACGCCCGAAUGGCUGGACCGAUUGCGCAAAUUCUUUUUUUGUUGUGUUUCUUACUGCCAGGAGAAGGUUACUGAUAAAAUACGAGGAUGUAAAAAAACUGAAUUUCACAGUUCACAAACCGGUUGCUAUUGGACCAAUAAAUGUUGUGUGCCAAUAUUUCAAGGCAUUUAAGUAUAAAAAUAAAGCUCCUGGAUAGUGUUGUACGAGCGGUCAAGUCAAAUUGACGCAAUUGGUACCGCCACCGGAGCCACAUUCAUUGCUUUGGAAACGGGACAUUCAUUGGAAAUAAACCAGAUUCUAAGCAUUUUUUGACUCGUAUCCAGCAAUACAAUAAUUAUUAUUGCUUUCAAAUGACGUCAUUUGAAGCUUUAAAAGCAAAUUUUAUUCAACGUUCAAGGUUCAGAUUUGUAUAAAAGAAAAUUUAAUAAAAUCAAUAAUAAAUGAUAGCGAACAAGGGCAGAUCCAGCUUUGGCGCCAGGAGGGAGUCACAUAGUCAAAUUUAGAUGCGUUCGUUCCCAAACGUUUGCCAUUAUACAAAAUUAUUAUAUUAUAUUAAAUUAAUUAAAUAUUGAAGGUAUGUAGUUACAUAAAAUCUGUAUGGUGACAAAAUAUAUAAAUAAAAUCAUUAUAUUCAAUUAGUGGUCCACCUAAGUCCUGGACCCAGCUCAGGGGGUGGUCAUGACCCCCA